rnacentral:rRNA from 1 species
GACAGAGGUCUCGAGCGUAGGCGGAAUCACUGGGCUUAAAGCGUGUGUAGGCGGACUUCUAAGUGCCUUGUGAAAUCCCACGGCUCAACCGUGGAACUGCUGGGCAUACUGGUUGUCUUGGGCCAUCUAGGGGCUACUGGAACAAACGGUGGAGCGGUGAAAUGCGUAGAUAUCGUUUGGAACGCCAAUGGUGAAAACAAGUAGCUGGGGAUGUGCCGACGUGAGACACGAAAGCCAGGGGAGCGAACGGG